rnacentral:rRNA from 1 species
GACGAACGCUGGCGGCGUGCCUAAUACAUGCAAGUCGAGCGGACAGAUAAGGAGCUUGCUCCUUUGAAGUUAGCGGCGGACGGGUGAGUAACACGUGGGCAACCUACCCUAUAGUUUGGGAUAACUCCGGGAAACCGGGGCUAAUACCGAAUAAUACUUUUUGGCUCAUGUCAGAAAGUUGAAAGAUGGUUACGCUAUCGCUAUAGGAUGGGCCCGCGGCGCAUUAGCUAGUUGGUGAGGUAACGGCUCACCAAGGCAACGAUGCGUAGCCGACCUGAGAGGGUGAUCGGCCACACUGGGACUGAGACACGGCCCAGACUCCUACGGGAGGCAGCAGUAGGGAAUCUUCCACAAUGGGCGAAAGCCUGAUGGAGCAACGCCGCGUGAGUGAAGAAGGAUUUCGGUUCGUAAAACUCUGUUGUAAGGGAAGAACAAGUAGCGUAGUAACUGGCGCUACCUUGACGGUACCUUAUUAGAAAGCCACGGCUAACUACGUGCCAGCAGCCGCGGUAAUAC